CAGUCGAACGGAGCGAUUGGGUGGAAGUUUUCGGACGGAAGGCUAAAAGCUUAGUGGCGGACGGGUGAGUAACAUGUGAGCAACCUACCUUUAAGAGAGGGAUAGCACCUGGAAACGGGUGGUAAUACCACAUAAACCGGCAGUAUAGCAUUGUACAACCGGCAAAGGAGAAAUCCGCUUAGAGAUGGGCUCGCACCCGAUUAGAUAGUUGGUGAGGUAACGGCCCACCAAGUCGACGAUCGGUAGCCGGACUGAGAGGUUGAACGGCCACAUUGGGACUGAGACACGGCCCAGACUCCUACGGGAGGCAGCAGUGGGGGAUAUUGCACAAUGGGGGGAACCCUGAUGCAGCGACGCCGCGUGAGUGAAGACGGCCUUCGGGUUGUAAAGCUCUGUCAAUCGGGACGAAGAAGAUGACGGUACCGAUGAAGGAAGCUCCGGCUAACUACGUGCCAGCAGCCGCGGUAAUACGUAGGGAGCAAGCGUUGUCCGGAAUUACUGGGUGUAAAGGGAGCGUAGGCGGGAAUGCAAGUUGGAAGUGAAAGGUAUGGGCUCAACCCAUGAACUGCUUUCAAAACUGUAUUUCUUGAGUGAAGUAGAGGCAGGCGGAAUUCCUAGUGUAGCGGUGAAAUGCGUAGAUAUUAGGAGGAACACCAGUGGCGAAGGCGGCCUGCUGGGCUUUAACUGACGCUGAGGCUCGAAAGCGUGGGUAGCAAACAGGAUUAGAUACCCUGGUAGUCCACGCUGUAAACGAUGAUUACU
rnacentral:rRNA from 1 species